AGAAACUUAGGAUAGUCUUUUUAAACCGAAGGCCUUCAAAGCCUUAGACAAGAGUUAAACCCUCUUAGUUUCUG
rnacentral:tRNA from 1 species